rnacentral:rRNA from 1 species
GUAAGCUAUCGCUGAGGGAUGGGCCUGCGGGCCAUUAGCUUGUUGGUGAGGUAACGGCUCACCAAGGCUGUGAUGGCUAGCUGGUCUGAGAGGAUGACCAGCCACACUGGGACUGAGACACGGCCCAGACUCCUACGGGAGGCAGCAGUGGGGAAUAUUGCGCAAUGGGCGAAAGCCUGACGCAGCGACGCCGCGUGGGUGAUGAAGGCCUUCGGGUCGUAAAGCCCUGUCGCAGGGGAAGAAUAAGCAUCGGUAUAAUACGCCGGUGCCCUGACGGUACCCUGCAAGAAAGCACCGGCUAACUCCGUG